AGGGUAAUCGACUACUAGCAUCUCAACUUGAUAAUCGUGUUACUUAUGAAAAUGGACCCAACAAUCAUCCAACAACCUUCAACUUUGGUCCAAAGUACUUGGCAAGCAAUCUUUAUCAGUUGAGCCCAAUUCAGGAUUGGGCAUUGGCGACUAUGCUAGUUAGGCCACGAUAUUUAUACAGUUUGGAGGACAUAUCAAAAGAGAUGGUUCUUUCAAGCAAAAGGUAUGGAUCGAUUAGGCGGGUGUUUGUUGUGGCUGCUGAAGAUAAACAACUAAAGAAGGAAUUCCAACAAUGGAUGAUUGAAAAGAAUCCCCCCGAUGAAGUGGAAGAGAUACUGGGUGCUGAUCACAUGGUCAUGAUGUCUAGGCCCCUUCAACUUUUCACUCUUCUUUUGCGCAUUGCUCACAAGUGACAAGCUAUCUCGGUUAGCUUAUCCCAGCUUGACAUUCCAUAUUCAAGAAUAAAGCAUAAUCGCAAAUAACGUGUAAACAUUUCUUUCUUCAUUCAUGCAAUAUUGCUGGAUCAGCUUUCACCCAUUGUCCGAGCCAUGUAGUAUUAUAUAAGCUUUUAGUUAUU